UACGAGUGCUCCAAGCGUUAUCCGGAAUUAUUGGGCGUAAAGGGUGUGUAGGUGGUUGCGUUAGUCUUUUGUUAAAUUCUUCGGCUUAACCGGGGGCAUGCGAAAGAAACGGCACAACUAGAGGAUGCGAGAGGCAAAUAGAACUCAUGGAGUAGGGGUGAAAUCCGUUGAUAUCAUGGGGAAUACCAAAUGCGAAGGCAAUUUGCUGGCGCACUCCUGACACUGAAACACGAAAGCGUAGGUAGCGAAUGGG
rnacentral:rRNA from 1 species